rnacentral:rRNA from 1 species
GACGAACGCUGGCGGCGCGCUUAACACAUGCAAGUCGAACGGAAAGGCCUGCUUUCCCUUGUGGAUUGCGGGUACUCGAGUGGCGAACGGGUGAGUAACACGUGAGUGAUCUGCCCCCAACUUGGGUAUAAGCCUGGGAAACUGGGUCUAAUUCCCGAUAGGACUGCAGGGUGGUGCCUGUGGUGGAAAACGAUUUUCUAGUGGUUGGGGAUGAGCUCGCGGCCUAUCAGCUUGUUGGUGGGGUAAUGGCCUACCAAGGCGGCGACGGGUAGCCGGCCUGAGAGGGUGGACGGCCACAUUGGGACUGAGAUACGGCCCAGACUCCUACGGGAGGCAGCAGUGGGGAAUAUUGCACAAUGGGCGGAAGCCUGAUGCAGCGACGCCGCGUGGGGGAUGACGGCCUUCGGGUUGUAAACUCCUUUCGACCGCGAGGAAGCCACCUGGGUGGAGGGGUGGUGACGGUAGUGGUAGAAGAAGCACCGGCUAACUACGUG